rnacentral:misc_RNA from 1 species
UACGAAGGGGGCUAGCGUUGUUCGGAAUUACUGGGCGUAAAGCGCACGUAGGCGGAUUGUUAAGUGAGAGGUGAAAUCCCGGGGCUCAACCCCGGAACUGCCUUUCAUACUGGCAGUCUCGAGUUCGGGAGAGGUGAGUGGAAUUCCGAGUGUAGAGAUGUGGAGGAACACCAGUGGCGAAGGCGACUCUUUGGCCUAUAACUGACGCUGAGGCGCGAAAGCGUGGGGAGCAAACAGG